rnacentral:rRNA from 1 species
GACGAACGCUGGCGGCGCGCCUAACACAUGCAAGUCGAACGAGAGAUGAGGAGCUUGCUCUUCAAAUCGAGUGGCGAACGGGUGAGUAACGCGUGAGGAACCUGCCUCAAAGAGGGGGACAACAGUUGGAAACGACUGCUAAUACCGCAUAAGCCCACGGCUCGGCAUCGAGCAGAGGGAAAAGGAGUGAUCCGCUUUGAGAUGGCCUCGCGUCCGAUUAGCUAGUUGGUGAGGUAACGGCCCACCAAGGCGACGAUCGGUAGCCGGACUGAGAGGUUGAACGGCCACAUUGGGACUGAGACACGGCCCAAACUCCUACGGGAGGCAGCAGUGGGGAAUAUUGCACAAUGGGGGAAACCCUGAUGCAGCGACGCCGCGUGAGUGAUGAAGUAUUUCGGUAUGUAAAGCUCUAUCAGCAGGGAAGAUAAUGACGGUACCUGACUAAGAAGCACCGGCUAAAUACGUGCCAGCAGCC